UGGGGAAUAUUGCACAAUGGGCGCAAGCCUGAUGCAGCCAUGCCGCGUGUAUGAAGAAGGCCUUCGGGUUGUAAAGUACUUUCAGCGGGGAGGAAGGGAGUAAAGUUAAUACCUUUGCUCAUUGACGUUACCCGCAGAAGAAGCACCGGCUAACUCCGUGCCAGCAGCCGCGGUAAUACGGAGGGUGCAAGCGUUAAUCGGAAUUACUGGGCGUAAAGCGCACGCAGGCGGUUUGUUAAGUCAGAUGUGAAAUCCCCAGGCUCAACCUGGGAACUGCAUCUGAUACUGGCAAGCUUGAGUCUCGUAGAGGGGGGUAGAAUUCCAGGUGUAGCGGUGAAAUGCGUAGAGAUCUGGAGGAAUACCGGUGGCGAAGGCGGCCCCCUGGACGAAGACUGACGCUCAGGUGCGAAAGCGUGGGGAGCAAACAGG
rnacentral:rRNA from 1 species